ensembl:lncRNA
CUCUUAUCCGGUAACUAGGGGACACCGCACAAACACCCGGAGGAAUGAUGUGCUUGGGGAGGAGGGGGGAGAAUGAAAGAAGCUCGCACCCUCCGCGCUGUUCGUCUACAAGCGUUUUCUCUGCUUUUGAAGCUCAGAGAGUCUGUUGGUUCGUAUCAGAGGACAAACACAACUCCCGCUUUUAUUGGUUUUUCGUAGCUUUUUGCAGGCAAAUGUUUAAAGUUUGGUGGUUCGAACAUUUGUUUUGGACGCGGCGAGAAGCAGAUUUUCUUUGUCGCCGCUCGAGACGAACCCAUUGGUUGGUUUCCUGCUUCGCACUUUGUUUUUUUUUAACGACCGUCGGACCAAUCACGUCCCACUGUCGUGAUGGGACGUCCUCCCGUUUUCUGAGUGAGGCCGUCCGGCGCCGGCUUAACUGGCCGAGUUCAUGGCGUUCCCUUGGACCGCGCCGCCAAAAAGUCCCUUCUUCUACGCUCUCAAGAUGGAUGUCGUGUCCUUGUCGCUCCGACGCGGCACGAACCGACAUUCAUGAGCAUUUCAUGGAGGAAGAAGAGUCGUAUCUGCUCUGAAAGGCAGCAGAAUGGAGGUUUGACCCUGAGUGACUAACAGGGAAACACGCAGCGCACACACACACACACACACACACACACCGCUCUGUCAAACCCGUCCUUCACCACGAAGACACCCCGACAGCUGUCCCCAUUCUCAUAAGACGCACUGUCCUCAUUGUGUGAGUUCAGUCUCUCUGCACUCGUCCAGUCCUCCGGUUCUCCGUCGCGAUGGAACCAGCAGAAAAACGCUAAGCCGUGUAAUUUGGGAAGCUCUAAUUCGGCGCUGUCGGCCAUUUUUAAGACCUCGUGUUGGAGGCGCGGAUGUCCCCCCCCCCCCCCGAGCCAAAAGCACCUUUGGGGGCCGUAAACAGUCUGUCAGAAUCUCACAGAUCUCGUGCAUUAAAGACGGGGAGUCUGGCCAACGUUGCAUUCCGAGUUUGGACUCAAAUCUCGGGACUUUUCUAGUUGUUUAGAGGCCGUGUUGUGUAAUUAUGUUGUAUUUUUGUCAUUUCUGUGACUUGUUAAAGCUCCGGUUUGCAUCUCCGGGAAGCUUUUCAGCUCUUUGACGCAAAGAUGAGGGGAAGUGCUGUGAAGAAGGAGGGAAACCAGCAGUGGUCCGUCUUUCAAAAUGAAAACGCUGAAGUGCUUAACCGCCGAAUCGGGGGGGUAGAGCCUCUUCAGUAAUAUCCACGACCGUCGGGGCGAAGAGAGGAAACCAACGGCAAAGUAAUUACGUACAAAGAAAGCGGAAAAACAAGUCCGCCCAUUUCCCAGUGGAGCGGCUGCAGAUUGACGCUUCUGUCUUUGGUUUCCAAAGGGACGGACCGAGUGGGUGGACAAAAUAAUAGAAACCAAUACUGAGGAAAAACAACCACUUUGAAUUGAAACCAGCCGUGAAACGAGGACCACCGCGCAUAUUAAGUCCGAGGCCCCUUUCCAGCUCCAGCCUGCAGAGGCUCAAUCCUCAAUGAAGUGCUCCGGUUAGAGGAGUGACUCACCACAGUCCUCAUGAGGAAUAACGUGCGGACAAGUUGGCGUCCCGGCUGGUGACGGUCGCGUUCAGCAGGCGACUCUCGAGGGGGGAAAACAUCCCCCCCCCCCAGAAGAAGAUGGUGGAGACCAAAAGAGAGCUCAAAGGAAAAUCUCAAAGCUCACAUUUUGGGGACAAAAUGUUCAAUGCAGACGUCAGAGUACAUCACCCCCCCCC